UACGAAGGGUGCAAGCGUUACUCGGAAUUACUGGGCGUAAAGCGUGCGCAGGCGGUUGUGCAAGACCGAUGUGAAAUCCCCGGGCUUAACCUGGGAACUGCAUUGGUGACUGUACGGCUAGAGUGUGUCAGAGGGGGGUAGAAUUCCACGUGUAGCAGUGAAAUGCGUAGAGAUGUGGAGGAAUACCGAUGGCGAAGGCAGCCCCCUGGGAUAACACCGACGCUCAUGCACGAAAGCGUGGGGAGCAAACAGG
rnacentral:rRNA from 1 species